UACAGAGGGGGCGAGCGUUGUUCGGAAUUAUUGGGCGUAAAGGGCGCGUAGGCGGCCUUUCAAGUGACGGGUGAAAUCCCUCGGCUUAACCGAGGAACUGCCUGUCAGACUGGAAGGCUUGAGACCGGGAGAGGUGAGUGGAAUUCCCAGUGUAGCGGUGAAAUGCGUAGAUAUUGGGAGGAACACCAGUGGCGAAGGCGGCUCACUGGACCGGUACUGACGCUGAGGCACGAAAGCGUGGGGAGCAAACAGG
rnacentral:rRNA from 1 species